rnacentral:rRNA from 1 species
UGGGGAAUCUUGCGCAAUGGGCGAAAGCCUGACGCAGCAACGCCGCGUGCGGGAUGAAGGCCCUCGGGUCGUAAACCGCUUUCAGCAGGAACGAUGAUGACGGUACCUGCAGAAGAAGGUCCGGCUAACUACGUGCCAGCAGCCGCGGUAACACGUAGGGACCGAGCGUUGUCCGGAUUCAUUGGGCGUAAAGAGCUCGUAGGCGGUCGGGUAAGUCGGGUGUGAAAUCUCCGGGCUCAACUCGGAGGGGCCACCCGAUACUGCACGACUCGAGUCCGGUAGGGGAGUGGGGAAUUCCUGGUGUAGCGGUGAAAUGCGCAGAUAUCAGGAGGAACACCGGUGGCGAAGGCGCCACUCUGGGCCGGUACUGACGCUGAGGAGCGAAAGCGUGGGUAGCAAACAGG